rnacentral:tRNA from 1 species
GGGGUUGUAGCUCAGCGGUAGAGUGUUCGCCUAGCAUGUGCAAGGCCCUGCGUUCGAACCUCAGCACCACA